CUUUGGGAGGCCAAGGCAGGCAGAUCAUGAGGUCAAGAGUUCGAGACCAGCCUGGCCAACAUGGUGAAACCCCAUCUCUACUAAAAAUACAAAAGUUAGCUGGGCAUGCUGGCACCCACCUGUAAUCCUAGCUGCUCAGGAGGCUGAGGCAGGAGAAUUGCUUGAACCGGGGAGGCAGAGGUUGCAGUGAGCUGAGAUCAAACCACUGCACUCCAGCCUGGGGGACAGAGUGAAACUCCGUCUCAGAAAAAAAAGUUAAAAAAAGAAGUGGGAAAAACAUUUUUUGGCCAUUUUGGUCUCCCCUGAAAUUGUUAACAGAGCAUGACAAAGUGUGUGUCUGCUUUCUGCUUUGGAGCUUGAAGACCUGGAUAAAAUGGAUUCAGAUACUGCCUGUGGCCUUGGGCAAGUUCCUUUACCAUCCCUAAAAGAAUACCAACCACUAGAGAUGGUCAGGAGGAUGGAAUAAGGAAGAUAAUGUUAGACAGGUUGUGUUUCAGAGACUGAUACAUGCAUCAGAGCUGACCCUACUAGAAAAGACUGUACAUGACUGGGUGAAGAACUCCAUUGACUUGCCUCCAGUCUUUUCUAGCCAUGGAGCGGAAGCAUGAACUUAGAAGACAGGCCAUUGUGGACCAUCCUGGAUUUUGAAAAUGCUAGAAAGAGUCAGUGGAUGGGAGCUCUCUAAACCUUUGGACUCAUCUGUGUAUAGCAUGGGUUUCUUGGCCUCCUGGCCCACUCUAUUUUCAAUUGGAAAUCUGAAAAGUUUGCAUGUGAUAGGGAGGUUUGUAUCCCGGUAAGGGAGGAAGAGGCUGAAACUGUUUAUACUGGUGUCAUUCAUAAAAUCUUCUUAGUUCUUCUCCAUAGCUUCCUUGAGUUGAGCCUACUGGUCUAUCACAACAAUGAUGCUUCUGCCUGGAGGAAUGCAAAUACCACCUGGGUAAUUAAGUCUGUGAUCUUAAUUGUCUCCCACUUAAUUGCCUCUGAAGGCCAACCCUGCAGUGUUUUCUAUUUCCUCAGCCUGGCAUGUCUGCUUGUUUUGACUCAGCCUUCUGGAUAGCAUAUGGCUUCCACUAAGCCUGAGCCACCCAGCCUGCAACUACACAGCCCCUCCAGCCGCAGAGGUGGCCCAGUUGUUUCAGUGCUGCCAUUCUGCCUCAGCCUCAGCUUCAUGCGCCCUUACCCAUCUUAUGUGCUCAUUUUGUGCUCUCCUUUUCCCAAAUUCACUGUCAAACUCUUUUUUUUUUUUUUUUUUUUUGAGACGGAUUAUCUGUCACCCAGGCUGGAGUACGGUGGCGCGAUCUCGGUUCACUACAACCUCCACCUCCCGGGUUCAAGCGAUUCUCCUGCCUUAGCCUCCCGAGUAGCUGGGACUACAGGCGCCCGCCAACACGCCUGGCCAAUUUUUUUUUAGCAGAGGCGGGGUUUGGGGUUUCACCAUGUUAGCCAGGAUGGUCUCGAUCUCCACACCUCGUGAUCCGCCUGCCUCGGCCUCCCAAAGUGCUGGGAUUACAGGCGUGAGCCACCGAGCCCGGCCCACUGUCAAACUCUUGUUGGGGAAUUCUACUGUUACCUUGUAAAGAGAAAGAAGCGCUGCUUGUCAUGGUGUAAACACAAUCUGGAAAGAAAAGACUGUGCAGUGCAUUAGCAAUUAUAUUUAGGUUCUACGGAAAACUUAUAGUUAAAUUAUUAGGCAAAUUACUUUCAAUGUGUUCUUUGGUAUAAUUUGGUAUAUGCAGGAAAGACUUAUGAAAUAUUUUCAAAUACUUCAGCCUUCAUCAAUCUCAGAGUAGGUUUAAAAAUAAUUAAAAUAUAUUAAAAUACUUUUUUUAAGGGUCCAAUGAACUGGAUCUUGGUAGGCAAAGAAAAGUGUCAUGAGCCCGGGGAUGGUGGCUCUUACCUGUAAUCCCACCACUUUGGGAGGCUGAGGCGGACAGAUUGGUUGAGCUCAGGAGUUCUAGACCAGUCUGGACAACACGGUUUCUAACAAGAAGAAGUUUGAGACUAGCCUGGGCAAUAUAGUGAAACCCCAUCUCUACAAGAAAUACAAAAAUUAGCCAGGCAUGGUGAUGCAUACCUGCAGUCCCAGCUACUUGGGAGACUGAGGUGGGAGGAUUACCUGAGCCCAGAGAGGUUGAGGCUGCAGUGAGCCAUGUUCGCACCACUGCACUCCAGCCUGAGCGACAAUGCAAGACACUGUCUCAAAACAAACAAACAAACAAAAACAAAAAACAAAAAGGCCGGGCGCCAGUGGCUCAUGCCUGUAAUCCCAGCACUUUGGGAGGCCAAGGCAGGUGGACCACCUGAGGUCAGGAGUUCAAGACCAGCCUGGCCAACAUGGUGAAACCCUGUCUCCACUAAAAAUACAAAAACUAGCCGGGCGUGGCCGGGCGCGGUGGCUCACGCCUGUAAUCCCAACACUUUGGGAGGCUGAGGCAGGCAGAUCACGAGGUCAGGAGAUCGAGACCAUCCUAGCUAACACAGUGAAACCCUGUCUCUACUAAAAAUACUAAAAAACUAGCCGGGAGUGGUGGCGGGCACCUGUAGUCCCAGCUACUCGGGAGGCUGAGGCAGGAAAAUGGCCUGAACCCGGGAGGUGGAGCUUGCAGUGAGCCGAUGUCACACCACUGCACUCCAGCCUGGGCAACAGAGCGAGACGCCAUCUCAAAAACAAAUAAAUAAAUAAUAAAAACUAGCCAGGCGUGGUGGCGCACACCUGUAAUCUCAGCUACCUGGGAGGCUAAGGGCAGAAGAAUGGCUUGAACCUGGGAGGCAGAGGUCGCAGUGAGUCGAGACCGCGCCAUUAUACUCCAGCCUGGGCAACAGAGUGAGUCUCUGCCUCAAAAAAAAAAAAAAAAAAAAAAAAGUGUCAUGAAAUACUUAUCUGGAUAAAUCAGGAAAAUAUUUUAGUUUAAAUUUAUAAAAUCAUACAUUCUCUGGAUUCAUGGUGUUAUGGCAUAAGCAAGAUUUCACUGUACACAAGACUUUUUUGUUGUUGUUGUUGUUUUUUGAGACGGAGUCUCACUCAGUCACCCAGGCUGGAGUGCAGUGGCGCGAUCUCGGCUCACUGCAAGCUUCGCUUCCCGGGUUCACACCAUUCUCCUGCCUCAGCCUCCCGAGUAGCUGGGAUUACAGGCGCCUGCCACCACGCCCG
rnacentral:lncRNA from 1 species